rnacentral:rRNA from 1 species
UACGUAGGGUGCAAGCGUUGUCCGGAUUUAUUGGGCGUAAAGAGCUCGUAGGCGGUUUGUCGCGUCGGAUGUGAAAACCCAGGGCUCAACCCUGGGCCUGCAUUCGAUACGGGCAAACUAGAGUUCGGUAGGGGAGACUGGAAUUCCUGGUGUAGCGGUGAAAUGCGCAGAUAUCAGGAGGAACACCGGUGGCGAAGGCGGGUCUCUGGGCCGAUAUUGACGCUGAGGAGCGAAAGCGUGGGGAGCGAACAGG